GGGAAUCCAUGCGGUAGCACGUGGAGCCCUGUGCAGCUGAGCGCGCCUUUCUCUUUCAUGAUAUCAAGGAUAUUCCGUCAGCCUCAGAAUCUCUUUCCCAUGGAAAAGGAGCAGCCCCGGGCUCAUGGCUCCUCUGAACACCUGGGGUCGGCGGGUGAAUACAGACAAAAAUGCAAGGACUUAGAUUAUCUACAAAAUUCAAGUGUGUGCGGGACCUACCUCCCCUCAACAAUUACAGACAGAGGCUGUGGCGAUAUCAACUCAGGACAGAGUGGUGGAUGGGACGUGGCCACUUAACCUGAGGAUCGGGGACUGCGGCAACCGCAUACUCCUAAGAGCAUCCUUGGGCUUCUGGUCCCUGCCUUGAGAGGGGACAGCCCAAGGACGUAGCGGGAUGGAACCAGAGGCAUACAUCAUCCUCAGCCACGCAUUAGGACAGCUGGGAGAUGUUCCAAAUGGCUGAUGGGAGUCGCUAGCAAGCCCCACACCCACCCCUGGGGUGUAGGACACCUGAGAGCAGCCUAAGGGACCCCCAGGCACAUCGAUAGUGACCCAGGAGCCCACUGUCCUGGCCACCAAGUCCAGGAAUAGGAGAUGCAAACGUCACACCAGGCACUUCCAUCUGCCGACAGACCACAGCUGCUGGGCUAUGCCUUGACUCUUGACAGCCCAGUCGAGAUGAGAAAGCCCCUUUCUCAACCUGGGACACAUCCUAGGAACAAUCACCCCAGUCUGUAUACCUUGUUAACUCAGGGGGCAGCUUGUCAGCACCAUCCCAGUUCCAUAGUCCACCCCUGAGGGACCAAAGCAGAGGACAGUAACUUGCUUUUGAACACCGCACAGUGUCUGCCUGCAGGGGACACACUAGCACGUGGCUCUGAGACUGGCAGAAACCCUGCCAGCGGAAAGAGACAAGCGGCCUUCGGAAGAUGAGGAAUAGCCAGGUUUAUGGAGCACCAGUGUGGGCUCAGAGGAGUCGCCUCCAAAGUGGGAGCACCAGGUCUUUGCUCUGGGUAACUUUUACGCCAUACAGACUUCCAAGUCUUGUUUUCCCGGCACAAGCAGCCUGGCCCUCCCCCUUCCCCAAGCAGACAGUGUGCCUACCUAAGAAGCUGAGUAAGCAAGAUUACAAGAACAGAACUGAUCAGCAAUGCUUGGAGCAUGGCUAGCAGAGCUGCUAGCAAGGACAUGAGGCACGUUGUUGCUACAAGAUGACCAGAAGGAUGGUUUGGGGUGAGUAAAUCUGCUGUCAGGCGCGUAGCUGCCUCCUCAGCUGGAGGGUGGGGGUGGGGAGGGCUGUUUCUCCAGUUAAAAUGCUUACUUCACUUCCUUUCUGAUUUCUUACCAAUUUUACCAAACACCCACUUGUUCAAGAGCAUUGGGAUUGAAAAAAAUAAAGACCUUCCCUCAAGGAAUCACACCCAAGGGAGAAACCUGCUGAGGUCAUUGCAACUCAGAACACUUGUCAUUUUCUGUUUUAGUCUAACCCUGGCAAUCUUCUGUGUUUCGUGACUUCCAUAUUUCCCUGUCACUGAUUUCAGUAGCAUCUUCCUAGUAGUUUGCAGCAGGUAUGCAGCUCUGCUCGUUCUGUUCAUGGUCGGCUGUUUGCACAAAUUCUUCCAGUGAAAUACAAUGAACUGAAUUAACACAGCCCACUGCUUACCUAUUUAUAUGAAAACAGAAAAUUGUACAUCUCUAAUACAGUCUCUAUGACUUUCCUAUGUAAACCCUUGCAACUCAGAGAGAUCCCAUUGUGGCACAGUGAAAAGAAUCUGACUAGUAUCCAUCAAGUUGUGGCUUUGAUCCCUGGCCUUGCUCAGUGGGUCGGGGAUCUGGCGUUACUGUGAGCUGUGGUAUAAGUCACAGAUGAGGCUCAGAUCCCAAGUUGCUGUGGCUGUGGGGUCAGCUGGCAGCUGCAACUCUGAUCGGACCCCUAGCCUGGGAACUUCCAUAUGCCAUGGGUGCAGCCCUAAAAAGCAAAAAAAAAAAAAAUCCAUACCAUUCAAGUGCAUUUAGGGCAAUGAGUUGGAUAAACACAUAAGAGCUACACCAGGAUAGGCAGGGGAGGCAGAGAAAGGCACAUCCCGUUGCUGCAGCUCCUGGGGUCUAUUUUCAGUGUCUUGAGGAGAUUCCAGUCCUACCCACCUCUGAACACCUUCCUCUCUUCAGGAGUCUCGUUGGUUCAUUUCUUCUCCUGAGGAAAUUGCUCUAAUUUGUAUUGUCUGUCAUUAGCUUUCUCCAAGAAAACCAUGGUCAGCAAACACCCCCAGCUCCAUCACCUGUGGCUCCUACCUGAAGAUACAGGUAUGUCAUCCAAGCAUGUGUGAGGAUGUCAAGGAUGGCUGAGCUGGGGUGUGAUGGAAAGAACAGCGCUUCUGAGACAACUUGGAGAUGUUUGUAGUUUUCAAGAAUUGGAAGCUCUGAGAGAAAACCCAUUGCUCGCUUUGGAGUUCAGCCUUCCCAUCAUCAUAAAUUGAUAAAACACCCCUUUCUAGCCAGUCCCUUCAAGAUGAUGGUUCUCAUGGCCUCUGUCCAUCCCCUGUUUGACUAGUCCUGGCUUUAGACACCUAACAACGCACUCCUCUUCAUGAUAGGGCAUAAUUAGUAAUCACCUACCUGCUUGCGCCCAUCAUCCCUGCCCCAGAAGCUGGUUUCCCUGGUAACCGAUGAGCCAACCUGACAUCAAUUCCCCUAUCAAUGGUAGCCUCCCCUCCCCUGAGUAGCCAAGACUGUUGCCGUGUCCUGUCCUUUGUCUUUUGCACAUGGCGUGGUGUCCUGGUGCUCUAGGACCUUUCUUCAGAGGUGUGAGAUUUCCCUCAUCUUCUAAACCAUCAGCGUCUCUGUUGCUGACUCCAAGCCUUCUCUUUGGUCUUGAGGCCAGAAAAGGACAGAGCUUGCAGAGCUGUGGGGUGCAGCCUAGCAAAGGGCUACCUCACAGGACACCUAUAAGAUACUCUACAAACAUAAUGUAUAUUUUGAACUUAAAAGGUUCCAGCAAACUAAAUAAGGAUAUUCUGCCUCCGUUCAUCGAGGGCUCCAAAGUCAUUAAAAAACAAACCAAAGGUGAUCUUGCUAAAAGUAACCAAAUCAAAAGUAGAGGCUACAUCCAGGACCCAAGAUAUGUUCCCCAUAUCUCAUUUGUGGGAAAAAGGCUUCAGCCUCCUAAACCUUCCCUGAGUUCCAUUACGCUGAUGAGUAAUCACUGGGAUUACUCAAUAGGGAAGGUAGAGGACAAAGGAGGAGCUGUCAAGAGACAACAGUGCAGAUGCCAAGCCCAGCUGUCCCCCUUGGAGUUUCCUGGUCUUCAGGGACCUGCUGUCUAGCACAGGGAACUCUACCCAAUAGUCUGUGGUCAUCUAGGUGGGAGAUGAAUCUAAAAGAGAAUGGAUGUGUGGACAUGUAUCAGUGAAUCACUUGGUGGUACAGCUGAAAUGAUCAUAGCCUUGUAUCAACUGGACUUCAAGAAAAUGUUUAACAAGUGAAAAAUAAAAAAAGAAACAACACUGCAGCCGUAAAGCAGGGUCCUGGUUCCUCCUUGAGGGUCCUACAGAGCAAUAUGCCCCUGAGCUCUUCUGCAGGAAGGAAGCCCCCAUCCUGGUGCAGGAUGCUCACUUCAGGCCAAGCACAAGCAGGUGGAGCCUCGACUCACUAGAACCGGAAGGCUGAUGACUGAGAUCCCUGGAACUCCGCCCUGUGACCUCCCCACCAACCAAUCAGGGAAGGUUCACACUCCCUGCAGCCCUUCUCCCAGGUGUUGCCUAUCACACCUCUUCUCCCAAAACCCUUGAGUUUGCAUCUGUUAAGCAUGAGCCACUUAAUCUCCUGGCUCAGCCCUGCAGUAAACCUUCCUCUGCCCCAAACUCUAUCCUUCCAGUUUGUUUGACCUACAACAAUGUUGGCAAACUGGCCAGGAGCCCGUCCAUGCCUGUGGCAGUUCGACCCCAGCCAGGGAAGUGGGGGACCCCCAGAAGCUGCCAGAGGUCCUUUUGCUCCAAGGAAUUCAGAGGGACUCUUCCUGAUGACACCAGUGAUCCUCAGCAUGAGGCUUCUGGAGUGAAGAAACUGAACCAGCAUCCACCUUUGGUUUGGUUUGGAGGUGAGUUGCUCCAGCAGUUGUUUAAGAAUUCCUCUGCUCCGGGGUCACCCUCUUUUGAGAGCUGGGUCCAUCUGUUGAGAGGUCUCCGUCUGGGAGUGGGAGCAGAAUGUGGGGACUCCACCUCAGCUGAUCUUCUGUCUGUGUGACCAUACUUGUUGUUUGUACCUUGGGUGUGUGUUGCAUCAGCUGGUGGGGGUGUCUCCAUUGGGCUUCAUCUCCAUUGGGCAUUGGUUGGCAUUCUCUCCUCUCCCAUGGACUCAGCCUUGGUCAUUAGGCUUUAUCUCUGAUGAGGCAUUGGUUGGAGUUUUUUCCCAUGGACUCAGCCUUGGUCAUUUGGCUUCAUGUAUGAUGGGGCAUUGGUUGGAGUUCUCUCCUGUGGACUCAGCCUUGGUCAUUGGGCUUCAUUUCUGAUGGGAGAUUGGCUGGGACUCUCCCUUUCUGGGGCUAGGGGAACUGUGACCCCCUCGAAAUGGUUUUGCGUUGCCAUCAUUUACUCUUGGCUUGAUACAAGACCCGCUGUGAAUAAUUGCCAGUAAUCAGAGCUCCAUUCCACCUUAUAGUUCCCUGGAGUGUAUUUGGCAAAACUGGGAGAUCUUUGGUGGUGUUCCUAAGAAUGAAAGAAACUGAGGGAGUUCCUGUCGUGGCUCAGUGGUCACAAACCCAACUAGAGGACGUGGGUUCGAUCCCUGGCCUUGCUCAGUGGGUUAAGGAUCCUGCAUUGCCGUGAGCUGUGGUGUAGGUCACAGACACGGCUUGGAUCUGGUGUUGCCUUGGUUGUGGUGCAGGGUGGCAGCUGCGGCUCCAAUUCAACCCCUGGCCUGGGAAAUUCUGUAUGCUGCAGGUGCAGCCCUAAAAAAGAAAGAAAGAAACAGAAAGAAAGAA
rnacentral:lncRNA from 1 species